GCCUGAAUAGCUCAGUUGGUAGAGCGGUGGACUGAAAAUCCAUGCGCGCCGGUUCAAUUCCGGCUUCAGGCA
rfam:Trachymyrmex cornetzi contig45325, whole genome shotgun sequence.